CAUGCCGUAAACGUUGGGCGCUAGGUGUGGGAUCCAUUCCACGGGUUCCGUGCCGCAGCUAACGCAUUAAGCGCCCCGCCUGGGGAGUACGGCCGCAAGGCUAAAACUCAAAGGAAUUGACGGGGGCCCGCACAAGCGGCGGAGCAUGCGGAUUAAUUCGAUGCGACGCGAAGAACCUUACCAAGGCUUGACAUGUGCCGGACGGCUGCAGAGAUGUGGUUUCCCUUUGGGCUGGUACACAGGUGG
rnacentral:rRNA from 1 species